rnacentral:rRNA from 1 species
AGAGUUUGAUCAUGGCUCAGAUUGAACGCUGGCGGCAGGCCUAACACAUGCAAGUCGAACGGUAACAGGAAGAAGCUUGCUUCUUUGCUGACGAGUGGCGGACGGGUGAGUAAUGUCUGGGAAACUGCCUGAUGGAGGGGGAUAACUACUGGAAACGGUAGCUAAUACCGCAUAACGUCGCAAGACCAAAGAGGGGGACCUUCGGGCCUCUUGCCAUCGGAUGUGCCCAGAUGGGAUUAGCUAGUAGGUGGGGUAACGGCUCACCUAGGCGACGAUCCCUAGCUGGUCUGAGAGGAUGACCAGCCACACUGGAACUGAGACACGGUCCAGACUCCUACGGGAGGCAGCAGUGGGGAAUAUUGCACAAUGGGCGCAAGCCUGAUGCAGCCAUGCCGCGUGUAUGAAGAAGGCCUUCGGGUUGUAAAGUACUUUCAGCGGGGAGGAAGGGAGUAAAGUUAAUACCUUUGCUCAUUGACGUUACCCGCAGAAGAAGCACCGGCUAACUCCGUGCCAGCAGCCGCGGUAAUACGGAGGGUGCAAGCGUUAAUCGGAAUUACUGGGCGUAAAGCGCACGCAGGCGGUUUGUUAAGUCAGAUGUGAAAUCCCCGGGCUCAACCUGGGAACUGCAUCUGAUACUGGCAAGCUUGAGUCUCGUAGAGGGGGGUAGAAUUCCAGGUGUAGCGGUGAAAUGCGUAGAGAUCUGGAGGAAUACCGGUGGCGAAGGCGGCCCCCUGGACGAAGACUGACGCUCAGGUGCGAAAGCGUGGGGAGCAAACAGGAUUAGAUACCCUGGUAGUCCACGCCGUAAACGAUGUCGACUUGGAGGUUGUGCCCUUGAGGCGUGGCUUCCGGAGCUAACGCGUUAAGUCGACCGCCUGGGGAGUACGGCCGCAAGGUUAAAACUCAAAUGAAUUGACGGGGGCCCGCACAAGCGGUGGAGCAUGUGGUUUAAUUCGAUGCAACGCGAAGAACCUUACCUGGUCUUGACAUCCACGGAAGUUUUCAGAGAUGAGAAUGUGCCUUCGGGAACCGUGAGACAGGUGCUGCAUGGCUGUCGUCAGCUCGUGUUGUGAAAUGUUGGGUUAAGUCCCGCAACGAGCGCAACCCUUAUCCUUUGUUGCCAGCGGUCCGGCCGGGAACUCAAAGGAGACUGCCAGUGAUAAACUGGAGGAAGGUGGGGAUGACGUCAAGCCAUCAUGGCCCUUACGACCAGGGCUACACACGUGCUACAAUGGCGCAUACAAAGAGAAGCGACCUCGCGAGAGCAAGCGGACCUCAUAAAGUGCGUCGUAGUCCGGAUUGGAGUCUGCAACUCGACUCCAUGAAGUCGGAAUCGCUAGUAAUCGUGGAUCAGAAUGCCACGGUGAAUACGUUCCCGGGCCUUGUACACACCGCCCGUCACACCAUGGGAGUGGGUUGCAAAAGAAGUAGGUAGCUUAACCUUCGGGAGGGCGCUUACCACUUUGUGAUUCAUGACUGGGGUGAAGUCGUAACAAGGUA